ACAGAACGGAAUACAGACGUCAAACAGAAUGAGGCGGAUGAGGAACUGGGUGGAGCGCCAGUUUCAGUAAUAAAUCAAGUGUCAAGAAAGACCAUUAAGGAGAAAACACAAGACGUGGGAGAAGAUUCCUGGGCUCUAAGGCAAACAGGGAAGGAAGUAAAAUCCUACCACAUCCCCCAGAAGGAGAGGGCAACAGGAACAUCAGUGACCAGCCAGCCCUGAAGAUGAUCAUAUUUGCUGCUUCUAGAAUUCUACUCCUCCGGAUGCCUGGGUGGCUCAGCAGUUGAGUGCCUGCCUUCAACCCAGAGCGCGAUCCUGGGGUCCCGGGAUUGAGUCCCACGUCAGGCUUCUGCAGAGAGCCUGCCUCUCCCCCCCGCCUGUGUCUCUGACUCUCUCUCUCUCUCUCUCUCUCUCUCUCUCUCUGUCUCUCAUGAAUAAAUAAAUAAAAUCUUAAAAAAAAAAAGAA